rnacentral:rRNA from 1 species
ACGGCUCAGUAACACGUCGACAAUCUAACUUAUGGUCUUGGAUAACCUUGGGAAACUGAGGCUAAACCAAGAUGGGAAAUAUGGCUUGGAAUAGUAUAUUUCUGAAAAGCAAUGCUAUAAGAUGAGUCGGCGGCUGAUUAGAUUGUUGGUGAAGUAAUGGCUCACCAAGUCUAUGAUCAGUAGGGGGGAUGAGAGUCCUAGCCCCGAGAAGGGCACUGAGAUACUGGCCCUAGCCCUAAGGGGUGCAGCAGGCGAGAAACCUUUACAAUGCGCGAAAGCGUGAUAAGGGGAACCCAAGUGCUUAUACUUCGGUAUAGGCUUUUGUCAAGUGUAAAAAACUUGGAGAAUAAGUGGUGGGCAAGACUGGUGCCAGCCGCCGCGGUAACACCAGCGCCACAAGUGGUAAUCAUAAUUAUUGGGUCUAAAGCGUCCGUAGCCGGUUUUUUAACUCC